rnacentral:rRNA from 1 species
CCUACGGGGAGGCAGCAGUGGGGAAUAUUGGACAAUGGGCGAAAGCCUGAUCCAGCCAUGCCGCGUGUGUGAAGAAGGCCUUCGGGUUGUAAAGCACUUUCAGUGGGGAAGAAAGCCUUGGGGCUAAUACCCUCGAGGAAGGACAUCACCCACAGAAGAAGCACCGGCUAACUCCGUGCCAGCAGCCGCGGUAAUACGGAGGGUGCGAGCGUUAAUCGGAAUUACUGGGCGUAAAGCGCGCGUAGGCGGUCUGAUAAGCCGGUUGUGAAAGCCCCGGGCUCAACCUGGGAACGGCAUCCGGAACUGUCAGGCUAGAGUGCAGGAGAGGAAGGUAGAAUUCCCGGUGUAGCGGUGAAAUGCGUAGAGAUCGGGAGGAAUACCAGUGGCGAAGGCGGUCUUCUGGACUGACACUGACGCUGAGGUGCGAAAGCGUGGGUAGCAAACAGGAUUAGAUACCCUAGUAGUC